GAUGAANGCUGGCGGCGUGCCUAAUACAUGCAAGUAGAACGCUGAAGCUUGGUGCUUGCACCGAGCGGAUGAGUUGCGAACGGGUGAGUAACGCGUAGGUAACCUGCCUCUUAGCGGGGGAUAACUAUUGGAAACGAUAGCUAAUACCGCAUAAAAGUCAAUAUCGCAUGAUAUUGAUUUGAAAGGUGCAAAUGCAUCACUAAGAGAUGGACCUGCGUNNNAUUAGCUAGUUGGUGAGGUAACGGCUCACCAAGGCGACGAUACAUAGCCGACCUGAGAGGGUGAUCGGCCACACUGGGACUGAGACACGGCCCAGACUCCUACGGGAGGCAGCAGUAGGGAAUCUUCGGCAAUGGGGGCAACCCUGACCGAGCAACGCCGCGUGAGUGAAGAAGGUUUUCGGAUCGUAAAGCUCUGUUGUAAGAGAAGAACGAGUGUGAGAGUGGAAAGUUCACACUGUGACGGUAACUUACCAGAAAGGGACGGCUAACUACGUGCCANCNNCCGCNNNAANACUUNNNUNCCCAGCGUNNUCCGGAUUUAUUGNNC
rnacentral:rRNA from 1 species